rnacentral:rRNA from 1 species
UAGGGAAUCUUGGACAAUGGGCGAAAGCCUGAUCCAGCGACGCCGCGUGGGGGACGAAGGCCCUCGGGUUGUAAACCCCUGUUGUUGGGAAAGAAGCCGGGCUUCGCCCGGUGACGGUACCCAACGAGGAAGCCCCGGCUAACUACGUGCCAGCAGCCGCGGUAAGACGUAGGGGGCGAGCGUUAUCCGGAUUCACUGGGCGUAAAGGGCGCGCAGGCGGCUACGUAAGUCCGGCGUGAAAUCCCACGGCUCAACUGUGGAAUUGCGUCGGAUACUGCGUUGGCUUGAGGACGGUAGAGGCUUCUGGAACUAGCGGUGUAGCGGUGAAAUGCGCAGAUAUCGCUAGGAACGCCGGUGGCGAAGGCGGGAGGCUGGGCCGAUCCUGACGCUGAGGCGCGAAAGCUAGGGGAGCGAACCG